rnacentral:rRNA from 1 species
GACGAACGCUGGCGGCGUGCCUAAUACAUGCAAGUAGAACGCACAGUUUAUACCGUAGCUUGCUACACCAUAGACUGUGAGUUGCGAACGGGUGAGUAACGCGUAGGUAACCUGCCUGGUAGCGGGGGAUAACUAUUGGAAACGAUAGCUAAUACCGCAUAAUAUUAAUUAUUGCAUGAUAAUUAAUUGAGAGGUGCAAUUGCACCACUACCAGAUGGACCUGCGUUGUAUUAGCUAGUAGGUGAGGUAACGGCUCACCUAGGCGACGAUACAUAGCCGACCUGAGAGGGUGAUCGGCCACACUGGGACUGAGACACGGCCCAGACUCCUACGGGAGGCAGCAGUAGGGAAUCUUCGGCAAUGGACGAAAGUCUGACCGAGCAACGCCGCGUGAGUGAAGAAGGUUUUCGGAUCGUAAAGCUCUGUUGUAAGAGAAGAACGGGUGUGAGAGUGGAAAGUUCACACUGUGACGGUAGCUUACCAGAAAGGGACGGCUAACUACGUG